rnacentral:rRNA from 1 species
UACGGGGGGGGCAAGCGUUGUUCGGAAUUACUGGGCGUAAAGCGCGUGUAGGCGGCCAGAAAAGUUGGGUGUGAAAGCCCUCGGCUUAACCGAGGAAGUGCGCCCAAAACUGUUUGGCUUGAGUACCGGAGAGGAUGGUGGAAUUCCCGGUGUAGAGGUGAAAUUCGUAGAUAUCGGGAGGAACACCAGUGGCGAAGGCGACCAUCUGGACGGAUACUGACGCUGAGACGCGAAAGCGUGGGGAGCAAACAGG